GGUGUAGAACUCAUUCUCGCUCUGCAGACACAUUAAUUAUUGCUCCCCUGACCAGAACAGCUCUUAACUGAUGGCAAUACCAACAGUAACAGUGUGGAAGAUUCCAUACAUAACAAAAUGGUUAUGAGAGAACCUCGCCGGCAGGGUUGACCCACUGCUCACACACCAUGAAGAGAUUGAGUGCAAUUCCUUGUGGCCAGGGCCUUCUGAUGCUUUUGGAGCAGCAUUCAAAGCACUUCCAAAAGAGGAAUUGGAUGAUAUCUGGAGCAGCCAGGGCUUCAUUCGAAACAAAGCCCACCACUUCCCAGGAUGUCACUUUUGAAGAAGGCCUACUUAUUUGUACCUAAGUUUCAGGAGGAUUGUCAAACAGAGCCACAUGGACGUCUAACUCUGCCCUCUUUACCUAAUGCUAGCACUACACGGAGAGGAAGAGGCAGAGACACAGAAGAGAGAGAACAGCUGGGGUGUGACAUCCUCCGCUAAACGGUGUGUACUCCCACCUACAGAGCCUCUGUGGUCAAUGUCCAACUCAAGACUGAAGUUGGAGCAGAAGGGUUAGAGUUUGGAAAAAACCCACGCCAGUUCUGAGAAGCUACCUGAAGAAAACACAGCUGAGGAAUGAAGAAACCGAGGAAUCCAUUCACGGCAUGGAGCGGCACUUUCUUGGCUACCAGAAGGAAAGAGACUUACCUUUCCAAACAUUGAACCUCCUGGAGAAGAAGGAAGGAGCAAGAGACAGGCAAUGUCCUCUGCAGGCCUUCUGUGGAGCAAGCAUCAGGAGAGGCCUGUGAUGAGUGGCUGUGCCCACGAGCUGUGGCUCCUCCCGGAGGCUGGCGAGGAGCAGCUCUGCUGUUUUCUGUAAACCUCCUUACCAGCUGGGGCCACGCGUGGCAUCUGCAUCUCGAGGCCAAUCUAAACUUACAAAAUAAACUCCAUUGCAGAAGACCUCAAGAACUCACACCGCUGGCAUUCUGGAACGAGGAAGGCACAGCCCAAGGCCACUCUGUGGACUAAGUGGAACCGCAGCUCCGGUGGCCCACCCUCUCUGGGCUGCUGUGUGUAGCCGAACCGACUGUUGGGGAAAGCCUUGCAAAGCAAGCUGAAGUGUGGGGGCCAUGCCUCAUCUGUCUCCGUGCAUUUGCUGAGUGCCUGCCUCUUCCACUGCGUAAGGCAUGUGAAGAAGACAAGACAAGGUUCCUUCCUGGAGGGUUUCUGGGGUUUGGGAGAGUCAUAGCUGACACCCAAAGCAGUAGCACACGAAAGUGGGGGCAGCUUCAAGAGCGCACUCCAGGGCAUGCUCUGGUCCACAUUCUGUUGACCACAAGCAACUGAAAGGACAUGUUUGUUUCCCCUCACACCCUUGAGGAAAGGCGAGGCAGGAACUCAAACAGGUGGGAGCCCUCGACGGGGACUUGAAGCAGACAUUACGGAGGGACAGUGCGUACCUGCUUGUUCCUUCUGCCUUGCUUUGCUUGCAUUCCUAUACACAGACUCACAUGCCUAGGCACAGUGCUGCUACCCACAGGAGAUUAGUCCUUCCGAAUCAAUUACCAAUAAAGACAGUGCCCUCAGCCAUGCUCUCAGCUACUCUGAUGGAGGCAGCCCCUCGACUGAGGCUCCCUUUUCCCGGGGGACUCUAGUUGGUGUCAGGUUGACAGUGGAGACUAUGUCCCCAUUGCAUUGGUGGAGGGGGUAAUUUAAAGAAAUGCUGACCCUGGGAAGGGUGGCUAGAGAUGUGCAUGGGGCAGUAAGACUUCCAUGAGCUUCAGGACAGACUGGUCUACAUAGUCAGUUCCAGUCAGGUAAGAAUAAACAAGGCUACCUCUGUCAGAGGACAUCGAGGAGGAAGUAUGACCUUGCCAGCUGCCCGCUGAAAACAGAGCUGGACGACACAGCAAGCGACGAUUUCGCUGACUGACAUUGACACCUUCAUUUAGUAAUCAAACAGGAGAAGAGUCCUAAGCGUGCACCUCGCUUCCUCUCAGGUACACCGGGUUCCCAGUGCACACGACACUGCACAGGGCUUCACUGGGCUGUGGUGAUCUGACUGACCCUAGAAAGUCCCAAGGAAACAGGUCAAAGACCUCCAGGAAAUAGGAUGUAGACGCAGGACCAGUGCAAGGUCAGCUAAUUAGGGUGGGAUUACUCUGCUGCUGAUUUGAUUUGUCAGGGGCAAUGAGCGUCUCUCAGGAUUUGGGGAGCAGUAAUCACCUGCUUUCCCAGCUUUAGUUCUUCCAUCAGCCAGGAGCAGGCACCAUGCUAAAAACGAGUCUGAAAAUCUCCUCACAGAGUUGUCUUUGUGGGGCCAGUGCCAUGCUGCUGUGCCAGAGGGAUUAAUUGUUCUCAGGGUUUCUGUUUGCAAACCCUGCCCCCUUAGAUUCACAAACACCCCCAAGGUCGUGUUUAGUGUGUAUCAAUCUGUUGUAACGCAACUCCAGAGUGAUCAUUUAAGAGUGAGCUCCAGGAGCUAAUUGAGAAGGGGGUCACCAGCCUACUGCACCCCAAAAUGAACCAGAGACAUCUCCAAGUAAGAAAAAGGCUGUCAUAGUUCCAGAAGCCUGGAAGGGAACUGCCUCAAAAGCUAACUUCAUUUUAAUCUGAAGGAGAAUCCAACCAGGAUACAGAGCCCUGCUCUAUCUACUGUUGAACCGCAAGAGCCCUUAGGCUCAGAACCAACCGGAAAAGUCGAUAGUAAACAGAGUCCGUGAUCUAACUAGUUAUACCGACAGAAUUUACUGUUAUUUUAGCACCUGCUACCAGGACAAACCCAUGACCUUGUGAACUGACCUGUGAAAUGACAUUGAUUUAAUACAGGGCAUAAGAAUGUAAAAAUUAACCGAGGACAGAAAUUCCACCUUUCCUUUGCUUGAACAGAGUGCUUCACGACUGACCACACACUUGGAAAAAAAAUAUAUAUAUAUAUUUAAAAUGUA
rnacentral:sRNA from 1 species